CAGUAGCCGCGGUAAUACGUAGGGUGCAAGCGUUAAUCGGAAUUACUGGGCGUAAAGCGUGCGCAGGCGGUUCGUUAAGACAGAUGUGAAAUCCCCGGGCUUAACCUGGGAACUGCAUUUGUGACUGGCGGGCUAGAGUAUGGCAGAGGGGGGUAGAAUUCCACGUGUAGCAGUGAAAUGCGUAGAGAUGUGGAGGAAUACCGAUGGCGAAGGCAGCCUCCUGGGCCAAUACUGACGCUCAUGCACGAAAGCGUGGGGAGCAAACAGGAUUAGAUACCCCUGUAGUCCCUGUCUCUUAUAC
rnacentral:rRNA from 1 species